rnacentral:rRNA from 1 species
UACAGAGGGUGCAAGCGUUGUUCGGAAUUAUUGGGCGUAAAGCGCGUGUAGGCGGCUUGGCAAGUCGGGUGUGAAACCUCCAGGCUCAACCUGGAGACGCCACUCGAUACUGGCGUGACUAGAGUUCGGUAGGGGACCACGGAAUUCCUGGUGUAGCGGUGAAAUGCGCAGAUAUCAGGAGGAACACCAGUGGCGAAGGCGGUGGUCUGGGCCGAUACUGACGCUGUAGAGCGAAAGCGUGGGGAGCGAACAGG